AUUGAACGCUGGCGGAAUGCUUUACACAUGCAAGUCGAACGGCAGCACGGACUUCGGUCUGGUGGCGAGUGGCGAACGGGUGAGUAAUAUAUCGGAACGUGCCCAGUCGUGGGGGAUAACGUAGCGAAAGUUACGCUAAUACCGCAUACGAUCUACGGAUGAAAGCGGGGGAUCGCAAGACCUCGCGCGAUUGGAGCGGCCGAUAUCAGAUUAGGUAGUUGGUGGGGUAAAGGCUCACCAAGCCAACGAUCUGUAGCUGGUCUGAGAGGACGACCAGCCACACUGGAACUGAGACACGAUCCAGACUCCUACGGGAGGCAGCAGUGGGGAAUUUUGGACAAUGGACGCAAGUCUGAUCCAGCCAUUCCGCGUGCAGGAUGAAGGCCCUCGGGUUGUAAACUGCUUUUGUACAGAACGAAAAGGCUCUUCCUAAUACGGAGGGCUCAUGACGGUACUGUAAGAAUAAGCACCGGCUAACUACGUGCCAGCCGCCGCGGUAA
rnacentral:rRNA from 1 species